AACCAGAAGAAUUCACUUUUGGCGAUUUCUGCUCAAUGAAUAUUAAAUGGCCGCAGUACUUUGACUGUGCAAAGGUAGCAUAAUAAUUUGGCUUUUAAUUGGAGUCUAGGAUGAAUGAAAAAAUGGGGAGAUGCUUUAUCAAUUAAAUAUUUUAAAUUUGCUUAAGAGGUGAAAAUUCCUUUGGUUACAUAAUAGACGAGAAGACCCUUGAAAUUUAUCAUUGGGAUUUUGUUGGGGCGACAAAGUAGCAUACAACCUGCUUUAUAAAAUAUGUCUUAGUAUUUAAGGUAAAAACAAAUUACUCAAGGGAUAACAGCAUAAUUAUUUAAUUAGUUUGUGACCUCGAUGUUGGAUUAGGGAUAUCUAGCCCAGAAGGUUAAGAUUAUCGCUCUGUUCGAGCAAUUUUUCCUACGUGAUCUGAUUCCCCAAACCCGGA
rnacentral:rRNA from 1 species